UGGGGAAUUUUGGACAAUGGGCGCAAGCCUGAUCCAGCAAUGCCGCGUGAGUGAAGAAGGCCUUCGGGUUGUAAAGCUCUUUUGUCAGGGAAGAAACGGUCUUGGUUAAUACCUGGGGCUAAUGACGGUACCUGAAGAAUAAGCACCGGCUAACUACGUGCCAGCAGCCGCGGUAAUACGUAGGGUGCAAGCGUUAAUCGGAAUUACUGGGCGUAAAGCGUGCGCAGGCGGUUAUACAAGACAGAUGUGAAAUCCCCGGGCUCAACCUGGGAAUUGCAUUUGUGACUGUAUGGCUAGAGUGUGUCAGAGGGGGGUAGAAUUCCACGUGUAGCAGUGAAAUGCGUAGAUAUGUGGAGGAAUACCGAUGGCGAAGGCAGCCCCCUGGGAUAACACUGACGCUCAUGCACGAAAGCGUGGGGAGCAAACA
rnacentral:rRNA from 1 species